UGCCCCAGUAACGGCGAGUGAAGCGGCAACAGCUCAAAUUUGAAAUCUGGUCCCCAGGGCCCGAGUUGUAAUUUGCAGAGGAUGCUUUUGGUGAGGUGCCUUCCGAGUUCCCUGGAACGGGACGCCAUAGAGGGUGAGAGCCCCGUCUGGUUGGAUACCGAGCCUCUGUAAAGCUCCUUCGACGAGUCGAGUAGUUUGGGAAUGCUGCUCUAAAUGGGAGGUAUAUGUCUUCUAAAGCUAAAUAUUGGCCAGAGACCGAUAGCGCACAAGUAGAGUGAUCGAAAGAUGAAAAGCACUUUGAAAAGAGGGUUAAAUAGUACGUGAAAUUGUUGAAAGGGAAGCACUUAUGACCAGACUUGGCCCCGGUGAAUCAUCCAGCGGUUCCCGCUGGUGCACUUUGCCGGGGUUCAGGCCAGCAUCAGUUCGCUCCGGGGGAUAAAGGCUUUGGGAAUGUGGCUCCCUCGGGAGUGUUAUAGCCCAUUGCGUAAUACCCUGUGGCGGGCUGAGGUUCGCGCUUUAUGCAAGGAUGCUGGCAUAAUGGUCAUCAGUGACCCGUCUUG
rnacentral:misc_RNA from 1 species